rnacentral:tRNA from 1 species
GGAGGAUAGCUUCAGCUGGAGAGCAUUCUGCCUUAACAAGCAGAGGUCGGCGGUUCGAGCCCGUCAUCCUCCACCA